CAGGAGGGGGCAAGCGUUAUUCGGAAUUAUUGGGCGUAAAGGGCGCGUAGGCGGCUUUGCAAGUGACGGGUGAAAUCCCUCGGCUUAACCGAGGAGCUGCCUGUCAAACUGCAUGGCUUGAGACCAGGAGAGGUGAGUGGAACUCCCCAGUGUAGCGGUGAAAUGCGUAGAUAUUGGGGGGAACACCAGUGGCGAAGGCGGCUCACUGGACUGGUACUGACGCUGAGGCGCGAAAGCGUGGGGAGCAAACAGGAUUAGAUACCCUGGUAGUCCACGCCGUAAACGAUGAGUGCUUGGUGUAGCGGGUAUCGACCCCUGCUGUGCCGAAGUCAACACAUUAAGCACUCCGCCUGGGGAGUACGGUCGCAAGGCUG
rnacentral:rRNA from 1 species